rnacentral:rRNA from 1 species
GAAACUACAAAGGAAGUUGACGGGGCCCGGCCACAAGCGGCGGAGUAUGUGGUUUAAUUCGAUGCAACGCGAAGAACCUUACCUGGUCUUGACAUCCCGGAGACCCUUAGGAAACUAGGGGUGCUUCCAUCUGGAAGAAUCUGGAGACAGGUGCUGCAUGGCUGUCGUCAGCUCGUGUCGUGAGAUGUUGGGUUAAGUCCCGCAACGAGCGCAACCCUUGCCUUUAGUUGCCAGCAGUUCGGCUGGGCACUCUAAAGGGACUGCCGGUGUUAAACCGGAGGAAGGUGGGGAUGACGUCAAGUCCUCAUGGCCUUUAUGACCAGGGCUACACACGUACUACAAUGGCCGAUACAAAGGGCAGCGACACUGCGAGGUGAAGCCAAUCCCGUAAAAUCGGUCUCAGUCCGGAUUGGAGUCUGCAACUCGACUCCAUGAAGUUGGAAUCGCUAGUAAUCGUGGAUCAGCAUGCCACGGUGAAUACGUUCCCGGGCCUU